rnacentral:rRNA from 1 species
AUUGAACGCUGGCGGCAGGCCUAACACAUGCAAGUCGAGCGGCAGCGGGAAAGUAGCUUGCUACUUUUGCCGGCGAGCGGCGGACGGGUGAGUAAUGCCUGGGAGAUUGCCCAGUCGAGGGGGAUAACAGUUGGAAACGACUGCUAAUACCGCAUACGCCCUACGGGGGAAAGCAGGGGACCUUCGGGCCUUGCGCGAUUGGAUAUGCCCAGGUGGGAUUAGCUAGUUGGUGAGGUAAUGGCUCACCAAGGCGACGAUCCCUAGCUGGUCUGGGAGGAUGAUCAGCCACACUGGAACUGAGACACGGUCCAGACUCCGACGGGAGGCAGCAGUGGGGAAUAUUGCACAAUGGGGGAAACCCUGAUGCAGCCAUGCCGCGUGUGUGAAGAAGGCCUUCGGGUUGUAAAGCACUUUCAGCGAGGAGGAAAGGUUGAUGCCUAAUACGUAUCAACUGUGACGUUACUCGCAGAAGAAGCACCGGCUAACUCCGUGCCAGCCGCCGCGGUAACAC